rnacentral:rRNA from 1 species
GAUGAACGCUGGCGGCGUGCCUAAUACAUGCAAGUCGAGCGAACAGACGAGGAGCUUUCUCCGCUGACGUUAGGGGCGGACGGGUGAGUAACACGUGGUUAACCUCCCUAUACUACUGGGAUAACUUCGGGAAACGGGAGCAAAUACCGGAGAAUAUAUUGUACCGCAUGGUUCGAUAGUGAAAGACUGUUUUUCUGUCACUUAUAGAUGGAUCCGCGCCGGAUUAGCUGGUUGGUGAGGUAGCGGCUUACCCAGGCAACGAUGCGUAGCCGACCUGAGAGGGUGAUCGGCCACACUGGAACUGAGACACGGUCCAGACUCCUACGGGAGGCAGCAGUAGGGAAUCUUCCGCAAUGGGCGAAAGCCUGACGGAGCAACGCCGCGUGAGUGAUGAAGGUCUUCGGAGCGUAAAACUCUGUUAUUAGGGAAGAACAAAUGUGUAAGUAACUAGGCACGUCUUGACGGUACCGAAUCAGAAAGCCACGGCUAACUACGUG